AUUUAUAUAGUUUAUUAUAAAACUUUACAUUUUCAUUGUAAAAAUAAAAUCUCAAAUUUUUAUAAAUA
rnacentral:tRNA from 1 species